rnacentral:rRNA from 1 species
UACAGAGGUGGCAAGCGUUGUUCGGAAUUACUGGGCGUAAAGGGCGCGUAGGCGGUCUUCUAAGUCAGACGUGAAAUCCCCCGGCUUAACCUGGGAACUGCGUCUGAUACUGGAAGGCUUGAGUGCGGGAGAGGGAUGUGGAAUUCCAGGUGUAGCGGUGAAAUGCGUAGAUAUCUGGAGGAACACCGGUGGCGAAGGCGGCAUCCUGGACCGACACUGACGCUGAGGCGCGAAAGCUAGGGUAGCAAACGGG